rnacentral:snRNA from 1 species
AGUGCUGGUAUGAUCGCAU